rnacentral:rRNA from 1 species
AAUGAACGCUGGCGGCGUGCCUAACACAUGCAAGUCGCACGAGAAAGGGGCCUUCGGGUCCUGAGUAAAGUGGCGAACGGGUGAGUAACGCGUAGGUAACCUGUACUCGAGUGUGGAAUAACCUGGCGAAAGCCGGGCUAAUACCGCAUGAUGUCCCGGGGUCAUUAGACCUUGAGACCAAAGGUGGCGAGCUUCGAGCGCUGCCGCUCGGGA